ACUCGAGUGGCGAACGGGUGAGUAACACGUGGGUGAUCUGCCCUGCACUUCGGGAUAAGCUUGGGAAACUGGGUCUAAUACCGGAUAGGAGCCAUCUUUAGUGUGAUGGUUGGAAAGUUUUUUCGGUGUAGGAUGAGCUCGCGGCCUAUCAGCUUGUUGGUGGGGUAAUGGCCUACCAAGGCGGCGACGGGUAGCCGGCCUGAGAGGGUGUACGGCCACAUUGGGACUGAGAUACGGCCCAG
rnacentral:rRNA from 1 species